GCUCGCGAAUACCCGGGCUCGCGCCGCCCGAGCCCGCGCGCGAAUCCACGAGAUGCCGCUGCGGGCCGGCGGAGGGAAAUGUGCGAGAGGCUAUUGGAUAGCCCGGCCUAGGAGGCCAGGUCCCUCCGCCCACCCAGAGCCUUUGGCUGCAGCUAGGGCAGAAGGGGGUCGCGGUCCUGCGGGUGCAAGGCCACAGUGCCUCCUGCCAGGCAUAUACCGAGAUGGCCGCUCGCCCUCUGAAUUCAUUCACCUUGAUGGCUACCAACAUGACCUUAUGGCCCCCUGCUGUCAACUGCUGAGUAAAGACCGGGAACUUCAGGACUCAACAUUUGAACGCAGCAUAUAGCAAAUCAUCUCUUGUCACCAGUACUAUUCAGACAAGCAGCAUUUAAGGAGCCAGCCAGGCUGAUGACUCAGCUCAUAAAACAAUGUGUGGCCACAAAGAUGAUGUUUAUCCAGGAGCAUUCUGGAGGCUCUCGCUACUGAAGUCGGCAAGCUGUGGUUAGCCAGUGUCUUCAAAUGAGGAAAAACCAAGGUUCUUCUGACUUCAACCCUUGAGGAUUGAUAGGGCAUUUCCCACCAAAAGGAGCACCCCAAGAUGUAUCCCAAUUUGCC